rnacentral:rRNA from 1 species
UAGGGAAUCUUCCACAAUGGACGAAAGUCUGAUGGAGCAACGCCGCGUGAGUGAAGAAGGGUUUCGGCUCGUAAAACUCUGUUGUUAAAGGAGAACAUAUCUGAGAGUAACUGUUCAGGUAUUGACGGUAUUUAACCAGAAAGCCACGGCUAACUACGUGCUAG